rnacentral:rRNA from 1 species
AUACGGAGGGGGCCAGCGUUGUUCGGAAUCAUUGGGCGUAAAGGGCGCGUAGGCGGCCGUGCAAGUCAGUUGUGAAAUCCCCUGGCUUACCCAGGGAACUGCAUCUGAAACUGCAUGGCUUGAGUCCGGGAGAGGAGAGUGGAAUUCCCAGUGUAGCGGUGGAAUGCGUAGAUAUUGGGAGGAACACCAGUGGCGAAGGCGACUUCCUGGACCAAUACUGACGCUGAGGUGCGAAAGCGUGGGUAGCAAACAGGAUUAGAAACCCCAGUAGUCC